CCUACGGGAGGCAGCAGUGGGGAAUAUUGGACAAUGGGCGCAAGCCUGAUCCAGCAAUGCCGCGUGUGUGAAGAAGGCCCUCGUUGGUUGUAAAGCACUUUCAGUGGGGAAGAAAAGCCGGGUGCCAAUACCAUCCGGCCCUGACGUUACCCACAGAAGAAGCACCGGCUAACUCUGUGCCAGCAGCCGCGGUAAUACAGAGGGUGCGAGCGUUAAUCGGAAUUACUGGGCGUAAAGGGCGCGUAGGCGGUCUGGUAAGUUGGGUGUGAAAGCCUCGGGCUUAACCUGGGAAUUGCAUUCAAUACUGCCGGACUGGAGUAUGGUAGAGGGAAGUGGAAUUCCGGGUGUAGCGGUGAAAUGCGUAGAUAUCCGGAGGAACACCAGUGGCGAAGGCGGCUUCCUGGACCAAUACUGACGCUGAGGCGCGAAAGCGUGGGGAGCAAACAGGAUUAGAUACCCUGGUAGUCCACGCCCUAAACGAUGAGAACUAGCCGUUGGGGACGUUCAAGUUCUUGGUGGCGCAGCUAACGCGAUAAGUUCUCCGCCUGGGGAGUACGGCCGCAAGGCUAAAACUCAAAGGAAUUGACGG
rnacentral:rRNA from 1 species